rnacentral:sRNA from 1 species
UAUUCAUCCCAUGCGGGAAGGAUGAGAAGCUUCGACUAAGGUUCGAUUCAAGCGAAGCGAGAAAGCGUUGCCGCAGGCAACGACCCGAAGGGCGAGGCGCAACGCGCCGAGUAAUCCUUCCCCCACCACCC